rnacentral:tRNA from 1 species
GCCCCCGUAGCUCAACGGAUAGAGCACUGGUCUUCGGAACCAGUGAUGUGGGUUCGAUUCCUGCCGGGGGCA